rnacentral:rRNA from 1 species
UACAGAGGGUGCGAGCGUUAAUCGGAAUUACUGGGCGUAAAGCGUGCGUAGACGGUCAUGUAAGUCGGAUGUGAAAGCCCCGGGCUCAACCUGGGAAUUGCAUUCGAGACUGCAUGGCUUGGGUGCGGAAGAGGGAAGCGGAAUUUCCGGUGUAGCGGUGAAAUGCGUAGAUAUCGGAAGGAACACCAGUGGCGAAAGCGGCGUACUGGGUCUUAUCUGACGCUGAGGCACGAAAGCUAGGGGAGCGAACGGG